UACGUAGGGUGCAAGCGUUGUCCGGAAUUAUUGGGCGUAAAGAGCUCGUAGGUGGUCUGUCGCGUCUGGUGUGAAAAUCCAGGGCUUAACCCUGGACCUGCAUCGGGUACGGGCAGACUAGAGUGUGGUAGGGGAGACUGGAAUUCCUGGUGUAGCGGUGAAAUGCGCAGAUAUCAGGAGGAACACCGGUGGCGAAGGCGGGUCUCUGGGCCAUAACUGACACUGAGGAGCGAAAGCAUGGGGAGCGAACAAG
rnacentral:rRNA from 1 species